GCCCGUGCGUCCGUGGCACGGAACGGCCGUUAGUCCCGGCAGAGGGCUCCGCGAAGACAGUGCCGUCGUUGGGCGCGCGCGCGGGCGGGAGCUGUCGGGGCGGGGCGGCACCGCCGAGCUCCGAGCUGUGAGGACCGCCCCGGGCCUUGGGCGGGGCGGGGGCCAGGGAAGGGCGUGCGCAGGAUUGGGGAGCACGUUUUGCGUCUUGCUGUGCGUGAGGAAGCGGGGAUCCAGGUCAAGGCUAUGGAAAGUUCCAGAAGCAAAAACAAAAAAAGUUCGGGUACAGCGGCUCACACCUGUAAUCCCAGCUCUUAGGGAGAUGGAAACUGGAGGAUCACUUGAGGCCAGGAGUUCAAGACCAGCCUGGGCAACAUAGCAAGACCCAGUCUCUUAAAAGAAAAUUAAAAAGAAAGAGUAAAUAAAGUUCCAGAAGCUUUGCUCUCCUUAUCCAAGCAGCGUUUGUACUUUGGCACUGGAAAGUGCGGGAGUCAGGGGUUUGUGAGAGCACGUGUUGGUUGUCGCAUUGGUCAGGAUGCACCCAUCACUCUGUAUCCUCCGGCUAAGGAGUGCUGGAGAGCCGUGAUGCCCACUGGCUGUUGUCCCGGGCUUGUCACUCAAAGACGGGACAGAUGUCUCCUUCCAGUUCUGGCCCAGACUGUCCUCUGAGCUGGGAGCACAGGGCUCCUCCCUGAGUAGAUGACCUGUCAGGUCAGCUGGAUCCAGAGGUCCCACAACCUCUCAAGGCAGAGCUGGCAGCUGUCCAGAAGGCAGCAGCCAUGAUAACAAACGUGGUUGGCCCAGGCCCAGACCUGCCCCCUGGCAACAGAGAACAGCAGGACUGGCUUUGACAUUGUUUUAGGGAGCCAGGCACCCUUCCCAGUCAGGGCAGAAGCCCCCUGGAGAGCUGGGCUCCUGACCUCACCGGCCUCCACCUCCUGAAGGCUCUGGCCAAAUCCACAUGUGACCUCAGGAAGGGAACACCCUCAGGAGUCCAAAGCCCCUGUUCCCCUGCUCGGUUGGCCACAGUCACUCUCCUGCCUCGGGGUUGUGUCUGUAGCAGGCUCUCUUGGGCAGCAGGGGUCAGGAGCACGGAGGGCAGACCCAAGACGGACCAGGCAUCUCUGGGGAGGCGACAUCCCCUCCCACCGGCAGCCCAGAGACAGGAGCUCCCCAGCAGUGCCCCUCAAGGCCAGAUUCGCAAGUAGGUGCCCGUGGAGCAAACAGAGAAAAGCGGGAACACGCGCUCCUGGAAGUUGACGCGGAAGGUGUAGAGGUGGCGCAUGUCCUCCACAGCGUAGAAGGACACGGCUCCCACCUCCAGGUCCAGGGCCACCCGCACGCGCGACAGGUGCCCGCAGCUGAGGGGCGACCGCUCGGGGCUGGUCACGGCCCAGUACUGGCCGCCGUUGAGCUGCAGGGCCCAGACGCCCUCCUCGGGAGUGAAGGGCGUCAGGCCCUUUCGGCGCACGCUCUCGCGGGCCACGCCAAAGGCCCAGCCGUCCUUAGAGCCCACCUCCACCUCCCAGUGAUGCCGGCCCGAGGAGAAGCCGCAGGACGCCAGGACGCGGGUGUUGGUGUCGAAGCGGCAGGGGUGGUUGGGCAGGUCCUGGGCCCGCUCGCCGAGGCGCACGCCCUUAAGAUCCAGAGAGAGGAUGAGGCGCGGGUUGGCCGUGUCGGGAUCCAAGGUGAGCUCCACUGCAGACAGAGACAGGGAGAAAUGUCCCCACGCAGCCAGGCCCCUGGCACAGUCUUUGCAGGGCCGCGCCCGACCUUGCUUUGCAACCUGCCUGCCUUUCCCUCUAGAAUCCCCCCAGCACCCAGCGCCAAGGCCCAACCAACCCCCACGCUCUGCCUCCCAGAGAUUUUGCUUCCCCCCGCCCCGACCACUCAACAAGUACUUACUGAAAUCAAACAAAUGCAAUGUGUGGGCCUGGUUUGAACCCCAAUUCAACAGAUGGGGAUAUUUGAAUGCUAGACAUUGGAAAGAAUCAUUAAUCUGUCCAGGUGUGAGGACUGCUUUGUGGUUAUGUUUUACAAAGUCUGUUUCUUUAGAGAUAACACACUGAGGUAUUUAUGGCAAUGAUAUGUUGUCUCUGAUGCUUUAAAAUAAUACAGUAGGCCAGGCGCAGUGGCUCACGCCAGUAAUUCCAGCACUUUGGGAGGCCAAGGUGUGUGGAUCACGAGGUCGGGAAAUCAAGAACAUCCUGGCUAACAUGGUGAAACCCCGUCUCUACUAAAAAUAAAAAAAUAAAAUAAAUUAGCCGGGCGUGGUGGCGGGCGCCUGUAGUCCCAGCUACUCGGGAGGCUGAGGCAGGAGAAUGGCAUGAACCCGGGAGGUGGAGAUUGCAGUGAGCUGAGAUCACGCCACUGCACUCCAGCCUGGGCGACAGAGCAAGACUCUGUCUCAAAAAUAAAAAUAAUAAUAACAAUAAUACAGUGGAGGCCGGGUGAGAUGGUGCACAGCUGCGAUACCAGCACUUUGGGAGGCCAAGGCCAAUGGGUCACAUGAGGUCAGAAGUUUGGGACCAGCUUGGGCAACAUGGCGGAAAACUUGUUUUGUAUUUUCUCUACUAAAAAUACAAAAAUUAGCCCGGCAUGGUGUCCUGUGCCUGUAAUUCCAGCUGUUUGGGAGGCUGAGGCAUGAGAAUCGCUUGAACCCAGGAGGCAGAGGUUGCAGUGAGCAGAGAUCAGGCCACUGUACUCCAUGAUCUCACUCCAGAGUAAGACCCUGUCUCAGAAAACAAAAUAAUCCCACAGGAAGUGGAUAGCAGUGUCUAUGAAAACUGUGGCCACUAAUUGAUCACUGCGGACGGUGAGAGAUGGGUAUGUAACAUUCUUUACACUCUUCUCUCUACUUUUGAGUAUGUUUGAAAUUUUUCAUAAUAAAAAGUUAAGGCCA
rnacentral:lncRNA from 1 species